rnacentral:rRNA from 1 species
AUUGAACGCUGGCGGCAGGCCUAACACAUGCAAGUCGAACGGUAACAGGAAGCAGCUUGCUGCUUCGCUGACGAGUGGCGGACGGGUGAGUAAUGUCUGGGAAGCUACCUGAUGGAGGGGGAUAACUACUGGAAACGGUAGCUAAUACCGCAUAAUGUCGCAAGACCAAAGAGGGGGACCUUCGGGCCUCUUGCCAUCGGAUGUGCCCAGAUGGGAUUAGCUUGUUGGUGGGGUAACGUCUCACCAAGGCGACGAUCCCUAGCUGGUCUGAGAGGAUGACCAGCCACACUGGAACUGAGACACGGUCCAGACUCCUACGGGAGGCAGCAGUGGGGAAUAUUGCACAAUGGGCGCAAGCCUGAUGCAGCCAUGCCGCGUGUAUGAAGAAGGCCUUCGGGUUGUAAAGUACUUUCAGCGGGGAGGAAGGGAGUAAAGUUAAUACCUUUGCUCAUUGACGUUACCCGCAGAAGAAGCACCGGCUAACUCCGUG